AUUGAACGCUGGCGGCAUGCCUUACACAUGCAAGUCGAACGGCAGCACGGGAGCAAUCCUGGUGGCGAGUGGCGAACGGGUGAGUAAUAUAUCGGAACGUGCCCAGUGAUGGGGGAUAGCCCGGCGAAAGCCGGAUUAAUACCGCAUACGACCUACGGGUGAAAGCAGGGAUCGCAAGACCUUGCGUCAUUGGAGCGGCCGAUAUCAGAUUAGCUUGNGGUGGGGUAAAGCCUACCAAGGCGACGAUCUGUAGCUGGUCUGAGAGGACGACCAGCCACACUGGGACUGAGACACGGCCCAGACUCCUACGGGAGGCAGCAGUGGGGAAUUUUGGACAAUGGGCGCAAGCCUGAUCCAGCCAUGCCGCGUGCGGGAAGAAGGCCU
rnacentral:rRNA from 1 species